GACGAACGCUGGCGGCGUGCUUAACACAUGCAAGUCGAACGCUGAAGCUCAGCUUUUGUUGGGUGGAUGAGUGGCGAACGGGUGAGUAACACGUGAGUAACCUGCCCCCUUCUUUGGGAUAACGCCCGGAAACGGGUGCUAAUACUGGAUAUUCACUGGUCUUCGCAUGGGGGUUGGUGGAAAGGGUUUUUCUGGUGGGGGAUGGGCUCGCGGCCUAUCAGCUUGUUGGUGGGGUGAUGGCCUACCAAGGCUUUGACGGGUAGCCGGCCUGAGAGGGUGACCGGUAACAUUGGGACUGAGAUACGGCCCAGACUACUACGGGAGGCAGCAGUGGGGAAUAUUGCACAAUGGGCGCAAGCCUGAUGCAGCGACGCCGCGUGAGGGAUGGAGGCCUUCGGGUUGUGAACCUCUUUCGCUCAUGGUCAAGCCGCAACAAUGGUUGUGGUGAGGGUAGUGGGUAAAGAAGCGCCGGCUAACUACGUG
rnacentral:rRNA from 1 species